rnacentral:antisense_RNA from 1 species
GGCUUCUUUCACUUAGCACGCUGGCUUCAGGUCCCUCUGCAUUGUCGCAUGUGCCAGUGCUUUGCUCCUUUUUAUACCCGAGUAAUCGUCCACUGUGGAGUCAUCCUUUCAGCUGCUGAGAGAUGUGUGGGCAGUUUCCAUCUGCAGCCAUUAAUUCACAAAUCCUACAAUUCUAAGGUCUCAGAACCCUUGGAUCUGAAGAUUCUCAAAUGCUAAGGUUUCUAGAUGUUAGCAGACGAAGGUGUCAAGAUGCAUGGGAUCUACGAUGCAGAGUUCUGAGUGGGGAUAUGCGUCCCCCACCCCGACUCACCCCACGACACAUAUCAGUAACAGCCUCUGCAACUCUGCCUUGGCGCCCCCGCAUGUUCCAGGGGCAGCCAUGCUGAUGGAUUGCUCAGAACGGGCUGGAGCUGCAUCUCCACUUCUGCCCCCACAGUUCCUGCUGUAGCAGAUGCCCUUCCAGAUGCAAACUCCUACUCAUCCUUCAAAACCCAGCUAAAUGUCACUUCCUCUGGAAAGCCUUCACCACCUCUCUAGCAGGCAGUUGAGACCAGCUUACAUUUCCGACAGGCCCUCACUGCCCGGGAUUGGAGCUGCGGGCUCCUUGAGGGCAGGGAUUGUCCCUCUUUCAUCCUGAUUCCAUGCCAAGGCUUAUAGCAGGUGCUCAAUAAAUGCUUGCUGAGUGAUA